CCUACGGGUGGCAGCAGUGGGGAAUAUUGCACAAUGGGGGGAACCCUGAUGCAGCGACGCCGCGUGGGUGAAGGAGUAUUUCGGUAUGUAAAGCCCUAUCAGCAGGGAAGAACAAUGACGUUACCUGACUAAGAAGCACCGGCUAAAUACGUGCCAGCAGCCGCGGUAAUCCGUAGGGUGCAAGCGUUAUCCGGAUUUAUUGGGUUUAAAGGGUGCGCAGGCGGCCUGGUAAGUCAGCGGUAAAAGCCCGGGGCUAAACCCCGGCGAGCCGUUGAAACUGGCGGGCUGGAGUUGGAGAGAAGUACGCGGAAUGCGCGGUGUAGCGGUGAAAUGCUUAGAUAUCGCGCAGAACCCCGAUUGCGAAGGCAGCGUACCGGCUCCACACUGACGCUGAGGCACGAAAGCGUGGGUAUCGAACAGGAUUAGAUACCCCUGUAGUC
rnacentral:rRNA from 1 species